rnacentral:ribozyme from 1 species
UACUCAUCAACUCCUAUCCCUACCUCUUCGUGGUACAUGCUGGGAACUACGAGCAACCUUGGGGAAGAUUGGAUAACCAACCCCGGUAGGAACUUUGGUUGUAGGCUGACUGGGAAGG